rnacentral:rRNA from 4 species
UAGGGAAUCUUCGGCAAUGGGGGCAACCCUGACCGAGCAACGCCGCGUGAGUGAAGAAGGUUUUCGGAUCGUAAAGCUCUGUUGUAAGAGAAGAACGUGUGUGAGAGUGGAAAGUUCACACAGUGACGGUAACUUACCAGAAAGGGACGGCUAACUACGUGCCAGCAGCCGCGGUAAUACGUAGGUCCCGAGCGUUGUCCGGAUUUAUUGGGCGUAAAGCGAGCGCAGGCGGUUUAAUAAGUCUGAAGUUAAAGGCAGUGGCUUAACCAUUGUUCGCUUUGGAAACUGUUAGACUUGAGUGCAGAAGGGGAGAGUGGAAUUCCAUGUGUAGCGGUGAAAUGCGUAGAUAUAUGGAGGAACACCGGUGGCGAAAGCGGCUCUCUGGUCUGUAACUGACGCUGAGGCUCGAAAGCGUGGGGAGCAAACAGG